rnacentral:RNase_P_RNA from 1 species
GGCAGCUAGACGAUCGCGUGCCAUUGGCAUGAGGAAAGUCCGAGCACCACAGGGCAGGGUGCCAGUUAACGGCUGGUGGAGGCGACUCCAAGGAGAGUGCAACAGAAAGAAACCGCCGGGCAACCGGUAAGGAUGGAAAGGCGAGGUAAGAGCUCACCCACGGCUUGGCAACUUGUCCGUGCUGUAAACCCCACCCGGUGCAAGAUGCAAUGGAACAUAUAUGGCGGCCCGUCAUGUUCCGCAAUCGCUUGAAUCCGCGCGGCAACGUCGGAUCUGGAUAGAUGAUCGUCCUCGACAGAACUCGGCUUACGGCUGUGCUC